GCGGGCGUAGUUCAAUGGCAGAACACCAGCCUUCCAAGCUGGAUACGUGGGUUCGAUUCCCAUCGCCCGCUCCA
rnacentral:tRNA from 2 species